rnacentral:rRNA from 1 species
UACGUAGGGUGCGAGCGUUAAUCGGAAUUACUGGGCGUAAAGCGUGCGCAGGCGGUUUUGUAAGCCAGAUGUGAAAUCCCCGGGCUCAACCUGGGAAUGGCAUUUGGGACUGCAAGGCUGGAGUGCGGCAGAGGAGACUGGAAUUCCUGGUGUAGCAGUGAAAUGCGUAGAGAUCCGGAGGAACACCAGUGGCGAAGGCGACGUCCUGGGCUUGACCUGACGCUGAGACGCGACAGCACGGGGAGCGAACGGG